CAAGGAUUUUGCCGGGGCGUGUAAUCCGUAACUGUAAAGUGCUGUUAAGCUAGGAGGGUGAAAAUUAGCCGCGCUCAAAAAGGCAACCAUAUUGGAUCAAGAACCAUUAGUGAUAAAAGGCGAAUAGAGUGCGGUGGUGACGCUAUCCAUCCGCCAUCUUUGAAGAUCGGACGAGCAACCUUCCACGCGGACGGAAUCCACGAGUAAAUUCCAUCCCAUCCCGUGACCUCUGAAAAAACAGUUACGACGUCCAGGACGAUUCCAUCGGAUGCAACCCAGGCAGGGUCCGGUAAGAAAACCAUUGAUCACGAUAAGUACUCACGCUGAAAAAAAUACCUGGUAUUUCACAGCAACCAUUACCGGAUUUCUCUCGCCAAAGUUCAUGCCAUUCGCGGAAAGCAUACACGUCGCUAGAGCGAUACGAACGACGGGUAAGACAAAAUUAAGUUGUCCUCGGCACAAUCCCUAAACGUAAAUCAUUUGCUCCACAGUCGUUUGAUUCAGCCAGCCUAGAAGUCGAUCACUUCGCAGAGAACCUCCACGUCCAUCCUUCGGUUCAAAAACAAAGCCUUCCCUCGGAAGGCUUUGUUUCUCUAUUUACAGCUAAUCCACACACGGAUAGUGGCAUCGGACUUGUUCGAACCAGGUGCGACCGCGAGGUGGCUGCGAACUAUCGGUCGGGAGUUGAGUCAAGCCCGGAGAGGGCCGAACCACUGGUCCACCGAAAGACGCCUUCGACAGCCGCAGUAUACGACACUGAGUUGCAACCGCAAGUCUUGGUCAGACGUCGUGAAGGCAUAGUACACCAGCGAGCGAGCCACGGCUGCACUGCAGGGUAGUGUGGAAUCAUGUGCGGAAGGGUGACAUCCAUGAUGAUGGCGGCGGCCAGAACAGCGAUUACGGUAGGGGCGCCCCAAUAGUGAGUACAAGAUGGAAAAUUAGCACAUAAGUAGAAAUUCAAAAGAGAAAAGGAAGGCAGGCAAGCUAGAGUAGGAUGAGGCU